rnacentral:rRNA from 1 species
GACAGAGGGGUGCAAACGUUUGUUCGGAAUUACUGGGCGUAAAGCGCGUGUAGGCGGCCAUGCAAGUCGGAUGUGAAAGCCCUCGGCUCAACCGGGGAAGUGCACUCGAAACUGCAAGGCUAGAGUCUCGGAGAGGAUCGUGGAAUUCUCGGUGUAGAGGUGAAAUUCGUAGAUAUCGAGAGGAACACCGGUGGCGAAGGCGGCGAUCUGGACGAUGACUGACGCUGAGACGCGAAAGCGUGGGGGAGCAAACAGG